rnacentral:ncRNA from 1 species
UAUAUUUGCGCCUUGAUAUGAACGACGUAUCAUUACAUAAUAAUCAUUUACAAUAAUAUUGGCAUG